rnacentral:rRNA from 1 species
UACGGAAGGCAGCAGUGGGGAGUAUUGCACAAUGGGCGAAAGCCUGAUGCAGCUAUGCCGCGUGUAUGAAGAAGGCCUUAGGGUUGUAAAGUACUUUCAUCGGGGAGGAAAAACAAAACUAAUAAUUUUAUUUCUUGACGUUACCCGAAAAAGAAGCACCGGCUAACUCCGUGCCAGCAGCCGCGGUAAUACGGAGGGUGCUAGCGUUAAUCAGAAUUACUGGGCGUAAAGAGCACGUAGGUGGUUUUUUUAAGUCAGAUGCGAAAUCCCUGGGCUUAACCUAGGAACUGCAUUUUGAAACUGAAAUACUAGAGUAUCGUAGAGGGAGGUAGAAUUCUAGGUGUAGCGGUGAAAUGCGUAGAUAUCUGGAGGAAUACCUGUGGCGAAAGCGGCCUCCUAAACGAAUACUGACACUGAGGUGCGAAAGCGUGGGGAGCAAACAGGGAUUAGAUACC